rnacentral:rRNA from 1 species
GAUUAGUGGCGAACGGGUGAUAACACGUGAGUAACCUGCCCUUAACUCUGGGAUAAGCCUGGGAAACUGGGUCUAAUACCGGAUAUGACUCCUCAUCGCAUGGUGGGGGGUGGAAAGCUUUUUGUGGUUUUGGAUGGACUCGCGGCCUAUCAGCUUGUUGGUGAGGUAAUGGCUCACCGAGGGGACGACGGGUAGCCGGCCUGAGAGGGUGACCGGCCACACUGGGACUGAGACACGGCCCAGACUCCUACGGGAGGCAGCAGUGGGGAAUAUUGCACAAUGGGCGAAAGCCUGAUGCAGCGACGCCGCGUGAGGGAUGACGGCCUUCGGGUUGUAAACCUCUUUCAGUAGGGAAGAAGCGAAAGUGACGGUACCUGCAGAAGAAGCGCCGGCUAACUACGUGCCAGCAGCCGCGGUAAUACGUAGGGGGCAAGCGUUAUCCGGAAUUAUUGGGCGUAAAGAGCUCGUAGGCGGUUUGUCGCGUCUGCCGU